rnacentral:rRNA from 1 species
CUGCCAGAAUUCAUAUGCUUGUCCCGAAGACUCAAGCCAUGCAUGCCUAGAAGAAAAAUCGGUACCUGGUGGGCCCUUCUCGGCUUCGGCCGGGCAGGCCAUUCCAAGGACUGAGGAAUCAGCGAACGGCUCCGCAUAUCUGUUGCUACUUAUCACGGUAAAUUGGGCAUGGAUAGGGCAUGGAAAAGCUGUGUAUAACACAAACAUAGCGGGGCAACCGCCGACACUUGGCAUAGCCGGUGGGGUAAAAGGGGCCCAUUUUCCAUUGCGCACCUGCCUCAAUUAACAGCUCCCAUAGUACCGUCAGGCCGUCCGGCUGGGCCCCUUCGGGGGUCCGGCUGGGUUAUACAAAGAAAACGGCCGGGGAAACGGAGGCCUUUGCUGGCUCGGGUCGGGCUACCCAAACUACCGUAAUGGUCCUUCGCCCUGCGGGGUGGUUGUGUCCAGGGGUAGGGCUCAAUGACUCGGGUCGGAUGCAGAGACUAACCACAAGCGCGUGAUGGGCUUCAGACCUAUCAGCUAGAUGGUAGGGUAUCGGCCUACCAUGGCUAUGACGGGUACAGAGGAUUAGGGUUUGAUCCUGGAGAGGUAGCCUGAGAAAUCGCUCCCACUUCUAAGGACGGCAGCAGGCGCGCAACGUUCCCAAUGCUAGCUAACGCUAGAGUGAGGACGUAAUGGGACAUAACAAUGCCUCUUUAACUAGUAGGUAAUUGAUAAUGGGGCGGGCCCAAACA